rnacentral:rRNA from 1 species
ACAUGCAGUCGAACGCCCUGGUGACGGGGAGUGGCAGACGGGUGAGUAACACGUGGGAACAUACCCUUUGGUGCGGAACAACAGCUGGAAACGGCUGCUAAUACCGCAUGCGCCCUACGGGGGAAAGAUUUAUCGCCGAAGGAUUGGCCCGCGUCUGAUUAGCUAGUUGGUGGGGUAAUGGCUCACCAAGGCGACGAUCAGUAGCUGGUCUGAGAGGAUGAUCAGCCACACUGGGACUGAGACACGGCCCAGACUCCUACGGGAGGCAGCAGUGGGGAAUAUUGGACAAUGGGCGCAAGCCUGAUCCAGCCAUGCCGCGUGAGUGAUGAAGGCCCUAGGGUUGUAAAGCUCUUUCAGCGAGGAGGAUAAUGACGUUACUCGCAGAAGAAGCCCCGGCUAACUUCGUGCCAGCAGCCGCGGUAAUACGAAGGGGGCUAGCGUUGUUCGGAAUCACUGGGCGUAAAGCGCACGUAGGCGGACUUUUAAGUCAGGGGUGAAAUCCCGGGGCUCAACCUCGGAACUGCCUUUGAUACUGGGAGUCUGGAGUCCGGGAGAGGUGAGUGGAACUCCGAGUGUAUAGGUGAAAUUCGUAGAUAUUCGGAAGAAACCCAGUGGCGAAGGCAGUCAUUGGCCCGGUACUGACGCUGAGGUGCAAAUCGUUGGGAGCAAACAGGAAUAAUACCCUGUAGCCCACGCCGUAA